GAUGAACGCUGGCGGCGUGCCUAAUACAUGCAAGUCGAGCGAACAGACGAGGAGCUUGCUCCUCUGACGUUAGCGGCGGACGGGUGAGUAACACGUGGAUAACCUACCUAUAAGACUGGGAUAACUUCGGGAAACCGGAGCUAAUACCGGAUCAUAUAUUGAACCGCAUGGUUCAAUAGUGAAAGACGGUUUUGCUGUCACUUAUAGAUGGAUCCGCGCCGCAUUAGCUAGUUGGUAAGGUAACGGCUUACCAAGGCGACGAUGCGUAGCCGAGCUGAGAGGGUGAUCGGCCACACUGGAACUGAGACACGGUCCAGACUCCUACGGGAGGCAGCAGUAGGGAAUCUUCCGCAAUGGGCGAAAGCCUGACGGAGCAACGCCGCGUGAGUGAUGAAGGUCUUCGGAUCGUAAAGCUCUGUUAUUAGGGAAGAACAAAUGUGUAAGUAACUAUGCACGUCUUGACGGUACCUAAUCAGAAAGCCACGGCUAACUACGUG
rnacentral:rRNA from 1 species